rnacentral:rRNA from 1 species
AUUGAACGCUGGCGGCAUGCCUUACACAUGCAAGUCGAACGGCAGCAUGGGUGCUUGCACCUGAUGGCGAGUGGCGAACGGGUGAGUAAUGCAUCGGAACGUACCCGGAAGUGGGGGAUAACGUAGCGAAAGUUACGCUAAUACCGCAUAUUCUGUGAGAAGGAAAGAGGGGGAUCGCAAGACCUCUCGAUUUCGGAGCGGCCGAUGUCGGAGUAGCUAGUUGGCGGGGUAAAGGCCCACCAAGGCAACGAUCCGUAGCGGGUCUGAGAGGAUGAUCCGCCACACGGGGACUGAGACACGGCCCAGACUCCUACGGGAGGCAGCAGUGGGGAAUUUUGGACAAUGGGGGCAACCCUGAUCCAGCCAUGCCGCGUGAGUGAAGAAGGCCUUCGGGUUGUAAAGCUCUUUCGGCUGGGAAGAAAUCGCAUCUCCCAAUACGGGGUGUGGAUGACGGUACCAGCAUAAGAAGCACCGGCUAACUACGUGCCAGCAGCCGCCGUAA